GACGGAGGAUGCAAGCGUUAUCCGGAGUGAUUGGGCGUAAAGCGUCUGCCGGUGGCAGUUCAAGUCUGCUGUCAAAGACCGGGGCUUAACUUCGGAAAGGCAGUGGAAACUGAACAGCUAGAGUAUGGUAGGGGCAGAGGGAAUUCCUGGUGUAGCGGUGAAAUGCGUAGAGAUCAGGAAGAACAUCGGUGGCGAAGGCGCUCUGCUGGACCAUAACUGACACUCAGGGACGAAAGCUAGGGGAGCGAAUGGG
rnacentral:rRNA from 1 species